rnacentral:lncRNA from 1 species
GAGGCUGUCAACACAGCAAUACCAUUUUCCUUCGACGGAAUACUAUUUCCUAAGGGCCAUCACAGAUGUGUUGCAGAAGCCAUUGCUGGGGAUACAGAGGAAAAGCUGUUUUGUUUGAAUUUCACCAUCAUUCACCACCAUAAUGUUAAUUAGAUGCAUUGAGUCUCUCUCUCUCUCUCAUAUAUAUAUAUAUAUAUAUAUAUAUAUAUAUAUAUAUAUAUAUAUAUAUAUAUCAAUCAAAAGCAGUGUUCUGUUUUUUGUUUAAAAUUUUUCCCAUUUAUCAUUCAUUUUAGUAUGUGUGAGAGCCCUGGUUGGCCUGGAACUUGGAUUACCUGCCUUUGCCUUCCAAGUGAUGGAAUUAAAAGUGUGUACCAGGAUUCCCAGUGGCAGCCUCUCCUCCUCCCUCCUCUUGCUCCUCUUCCUGCUCCUCUUCCUCUUUUUCCUUCUCUUUGAGUCAGGUUUUCACUGUGUAGCUCAAGAUGGUCUUGUAUUUCUUACACUAAUGCCUUAGCCUCUUGGGUGCUGAGAUUACAAAUCACAAUUGUUGCUUGUAUUUCAAAGAUCUUGGUGUCUAUUUUAAGCAGGUAUUGGGAAAUGUAAAAAUACAGAUCUAACAUUAAAGAUUGUUUUGCGUUAU